ACGGUCAUAUCACAUUGAGACACCGGUUUCCCAUACGAUCACCGAAGUUAAGCAGCGUCGAGCUUGGUUAGUACCUAGAUUGGUGACCGCUUGAGAAUACCAGGUACU